CUGGAACUUGCAUGAAGGUGCGGUUUGUUGUUUUGUUGUUAGUAUAAUUCACCUGCAGUCUAUCAGUUGUGGUUAAAGCAGAAAGAUGGAGUGCACAAGAGGAGGAAGAGCCCAGUUGUCUGCAAGGCUGGCCAACAUGAGAGACUGAUUUUCAGCAGCUGGAUUUGCAUCUCCCUGCUCCCAAAGCCUGUUGAAGCCCACACCAGGUCCAACUGAAGCCAGAGGAGGAAAGUGUACAGCCUGAUCAGGUGUGCAAGCAGCCAUGUUGUUUGUGUCACUUUUGGAGAUGCUACUCUGAAGUAGAAAGCUAGAAAUUAAGCAGCAGAUUCAGCAGGUCCUUGAGGACAUGUGCAGUCUGUUAGGGUGAGUCUGAAUUUUGAGCAAUUAUUAUCUAAA
rnacentral:lncRNA from 1 species